rnacentral:rRNA from 1 species
GGCUCAGGACGAACGCUGGCGGCGUGCCUAAUACAUGCAAGUCGAGCGAAUCGAUGGGAGCUUGCUCCCUGAGAUUAGCGGCGGACGGGUGAGUAACACGUGGGCAACCUGCCUAUAAGACUGGGAUAACUUCGGGAAACCGGAGCUAAUACCGGAUACGUUCUUUUCUCGCAUGAGAGAAGAUGGAAAGACGGUUUACGCUGUCACUUAUAGAUGGGCCCGCGGCGCAUUAGCUAGUUGGUGAGGUAAUGGCUCACCAAGGCGACGAUGCGUAGCCGACCUGAGAGGGUGAUCGGCCACACUGGGACUGAGACACGGCCCAGACUCCUACGGGAGGCAGCAGUAGGGAAUCUUCCGCAAUGGACGAAAGUCUGACGGAGCAACGCCGCGUGAACGAAGAAGGCCUUCGGGUYGUAAAGUUCUGUUGUUAGGGAAGAACAAGUACCAGAGUAACUGCUGGUACCUGAC